rnacentral:rRNA from 1 species
UACGAAGGGGGCUAGCGUUGUUCGGAAUUACUGGGCGUAAAGGGUGCGUAGGCGGCCUGUUAAGUCGAACGUGAAAUCCCCGGGCUCAACCCGGGAACUGCGUCCGAUACUGGCAGGCUUGAAUCCGGGAGAGGGAUGCGGAAUUCCAGGUGUAGCGGUGAAAUGCGUAGAUAUCUGGAGGAACACCGGUGGCGAAGGCGGCAUCCUGGACCGGCAUUGACGCUGAGGCGCGAAAGCCAGGGGAGCAAACGGG